rnacentral:rRNA from 1 species
GAUCCUGGCUCAGGAUGAACGCUAGCGAUAGGCUUAACACAUGCAAGUCGAGGGGCAGCAUGGUCUUAGCUUGCUAAGACUGAUGGCGACCGGCGCACGGGUGCGUAACGCGUAUGCAACUUGCCUCACAGAGGGGGAUAACCCGUCGAAAGACGGACUAAUACCGCGUACACUCCAGCUUGGGCAUCCAAGCUAGAGGAAAUGAAAUUCGCUGUGAGAUAGGC